AGAUACCCCUGUAGUCCAGGGUGUAAACGCUGCGGGCUUGGUGUUGGGGGUCCUUUGAGGGCGCCCAGUGCCGGAGAGAAGUUGUUAAGCCUGCUGCUUGGGGAGUACGUCCGCAAGGAUGAAACUUAAGGAAUUGGCGGGGAGCACCGCAACGGGAGGAGCGUGCGGUUCAAUUGGAUUCAACGCCGGACAACUCACCAGGAGCGACGGUUACAUGAAGGCCAGGCUGAUGACCUUGCCUGAUUUUCCG
rnacentral:rRNA from 1 species